AUGAACGCUGGCGGCGUGCCUAAUACAUGCAAGUCGAGCGAACAGACGAGGAGCUUGCUCCUCUGACGUUAGCGGCGGACGGGUGAGUAACACGUGGAUAACCUACCUAUAAGACUGGGAUAACUUCGGGAAACCGGAGCUAAUACCGGAUAAUAUAUUGAACCGCAUGGUUCAAUAGUGAAAGACGGUUUUGCUGUCACUUAUAGAUGGAUCCGCGCCGCAUUAGCUAGUUGGUAAGGUAACGGCUUACCAAGGCAACGAUGCGUAGCCGACCUGAGAGGGUGAUCGGCCACACUGGAACUGAGACACGGUCCCGACUCCUACGGGAGGCAGCAGUAGGGAAUCUUCCGCAAUGGGCGAAAGCUUGACGGAGCAACGCCGCGUGAGUGAUGAAGGUCUUCGGAUCGUAAAACUCUGUUAUUAGGGAAGAACAAAUGUGUAAGUAACUAUGCACGUCUUGACGGUACCUAAUCAGAAAGCCACGGCUAACUACGUG
rnacentral:rRNA from 1 species